GGCAUCUGUGUCAAAUUCAGUUCCUGCCCCACCCAUGGCAGGCAUUGGCCCAAAAGGCUGCCACAGAAACACUGUAAUGCAUGGCCCUGUUUUGCUUUCUGGACCUCAGGGAUAAAUUUCAUUGCAGACACUU
ensembl:snoRNA